rnacentral:rRNA from 1 species
CCGGCAACCGGCGCACGGGUGAGUAACACGUAUGGAACCUGCCCGCAGCAGGGGGAUAAGCGGAAGAAAUUCCGUCUAAUACCGCGUAACAACGUUGGGAGGCAUCUCCCGAUGUUUAAAGAUUUAUCGGCUGCGGAUGGCCAUGCGGCGCAUUAGCUAGUCGGCGGGGUAACGGCCCACCGAGGCGACGAUGCGUAGGGGUUCUGAGAGGAAGGUCCCCCACACUGGUACUGAGACACGGACCAGACUCCUACGGAAGGCAGCAG